CGGGCGCGAGUGUAGGCACGGGGAGGCGUGCGCGGGAACGCGUGCAGGGACGUAGGCGCGCGAGCGCGGCGCUGCAGGGACUGGGCGCUUGGGCAUUCCAUUGAACGCCCGGAGGGCGCGGGCGGCAGCCCGCCCUAUCGUCCUCUUCCCUUUUUCUCCUUUGUUUUUUUUACGCGGGUGGGCCGAGGAGCGAGCGGGCCUGCGGCCCGUGGAGCGGCGGCCUCUUCUUUUUUGUUUUUGCGGCGCGGGACGGGGGCUUUGGUUCCAGGCCCGUGACCUUAUUUGGCUAAUCCUUGGCAGAUCUUUUUUUGUAGGUGAGAUGGCGGGACCCGACGUUGAGCGUCCAGUUGGUG
rnacentral:lncRNA from 1 species